rnacentral:rRNA from 1 species
GACGAACGCUGGCGGCGUGCUUAACACAUGCAAGUCGAACGCUGAAGCUUGGUGCUUGCACUGGGUGGAUGAGUGGCGAACGGGUGAGUAAUACGUGAGUAACCUGCCCUUGACUCUGGGAUAAGCCUGGGAAACUGGGUCUAAUACUGGAUACGACAUGUCACCGCAUGGUGGUGUGUGGAAAGGGGUUUACUGGUUUUGGAUGGGCUCACGGCCUAUCAGCUUGUUGGUGGGGUAAUGGCUCACCAAGGCGACGACGGGUAGCCGGCCUGCGAGGGUGACCGGCCACACUGGGACUGAGACACGGCCCAGACUCCUACGGGAGGCAGCAGUGGGGAAUAUUGCACAAUGGGCGGAAGCCUGAUGCAGCGACGCCGCGUGAGGGAUGACGGCCUUCGGGUUGUAAACCUCUUUCAGCACGGAAGAAGCGAAAGUGACGGUACGUGCAGAAGAAGCGCCGGCUAACUACGUG